UAUCUAGAGUUUCUCUUCAUCUAGGCAAAAAUCUUUCGCCUUGUAUUAAAGAUUUCUGUGGAGGGGAACCUCUGUGAGUUUGUUGUAUUUUAGGGGCUCGGCUCAGAGAAGAGCGGC